rnacentral:rRNA from 1 species
CCCUAAGCGUACGCUAAGUGGGAAAGGAUGUGGAGUCGCACAGACAACCAGGAGGUUGGCUUAGAAGCAGCCACCCUUGAAAGAGUGCGUAAUAGCUCACUGGUCUAGUGAUUCCGCGCCGACAAUGUAGCGGGGCUCAAGCGUACCGCCGAAGUCGUGUCAUUCCNDAUAUGUACGCCCAACGCCSDUUGGGAUGGGUAGGGGAGCGUCGUGUGCCGGGUGAAGCAGCCGCGGAAGCGAGUUGUGGACGGUUCACGAGUGAGAAUGCAGGCAUGAGUAGCGAUACACACGUGAGAAACGUGUGCGCCGAUUGACUAAGGGUUCCUGGGUCAAGCUGAUCUGCCCAGGGUAAGUCGGGACCUAAGGCGAGGCCGACAGGCGUAGUCGAUGGAUAACCGGUUGAUAUUCCGGUACCCGCUGUGAAGCGUCAAACAUUGAAUCAGGCGAUGCUAAGUCCGUGAAGCCGUUCCGGACCCUUCGGGGAAAGGAAAGUGGUGGAGCCGACGGACCAGACUUGUAGUAGGUGAGUGAUGGGGUGACGCAGGAAGGUAGUCCAGCCCGGGCGGUGGUUGUCCCGGGGUAAGGGUGUAGGGCGCUGUYCAGGUAAAUCCGGACASCUUGWGCCUGAGACCUGAUGCCGAGCCGAUUGUGGUGAAGUGGAUGAUCCUAUGCUGUCGAGAAAAGCCUCUAGCGAGUUUCAUGGCGGCCCGUACCCUAAACCGACUCAGGUGGUCAGGUAGAGAAUACCGAGGCGUUCGGGUGAACUAUGGUUAAGGAACUCGGCAAAAUGCCCCCGUAACUUCGGGAGAAGGGGGGCCAUCACUGGUGAGAGGACUUGCUCCUCGAGCUGGGGGUGGCCGCAGAGACCAGCGAGAAGCGACUGUUUACUAAAAACACAGGUCCGUGCGAAGCCGUAAGGCGAUGUAUACGGACUGACGCCUSCCCGGUGCUGGAACGUA